rnacentral:rRNA from 1 species
CCCUUAGAUGUUCUGGGCCGCACGCGCGCUACACUGACGAAUGCAACGAGCUUAUAACCUUGGCCGAAAGGUCUGGGUAAUCUCCAAAUUUCGUCGUGAUGGGGAUAGAUUAUUGCAAUUAUUAAUCUUCAGCGAGGAAUGCCUAGUAAGCGCAAGUCAUCAGCUUGCGUUGAUUACGUCCCUGCCCUUUGUACACACCGCCCGUCGCUCCUACCGAUUGAAUGGUCCGGUGAAGCGCUCGGACCGCGGCCUCUUGACGGUUUUCCGUCGAUUGGCUGUGGGAAGUUCGUUAAACCUUAUCAUUUAGAGGAAGGAGAAGUCGUANCA